ACGCUCGACACCUACGGGAGGCAGCAGUCGGGAAUAUUGCGCAAUGGAGGAAACUCUGACGCAGUGACGCCGCGUAUGGGAAGAAGGUUUUCGGAUUGUAAACCAUUUUAGACAAGGAAGAAACAAGACAGUACUUGUAGAAUAAGCUCCGGCUAACUACGUACCAGCAGCCGCGGUAAUCUGAGGCGGGCUGGCAAGGC
rnacentral:rRNA from 1 species